AGAACGAACGCUGGCGGCAGGCUUAACACAUGCAAGUCGAGCGAUCGCAGCAAUGCGGGAGCGGCAGACGGGUGAGUAACGCGUGGGAACGUACCCUCCGGUUCGGAAUAACUCAGGGAAACUUGAGCUAAUACCGGAUACGGUCGAGAGGCGAAAGAUUCAUCGCCGGAGGAUCGGCCCGCGUUCGAUUAGCUAGUUGGCGGGGUAAUGGCCCACCAAGGCGACGAUCGAUAGCUGGUCUGAGAGGAUGAUCAGCCACAUUGGGACUGAGACACGGCCCAAACUCCUACGGGAGGCAGCAGUGGGGAAUAUUGGACAAUGGGCGCAAGCCUGAUCCAGCCAUGCCGCGUGAGUGAUGACGGCCUUAGGGUUGUAAAGCUCUUUCGCUAGGGACGAUAAUGACGGUACCUAGACAAGAAGCCCCGGCUAACUUCGUGCCAGCAGCCGC
rnacentral:rRNA from 1 species